GAUGAACGCUGGCGGCGUGCCUUAUACAUGCAAGUUGAGCGGUAACAGUUCCUCAUUUUGUCUUUAAGCUUAAAGAUAGUAUCAAUAUUAUGGUUUGAAGGUGAGAUGAGGAAGCUGACGAGCAGCGAACGGGUGAGUAACACGUAGGAACUCGCCCCAAAGUGAGGGAUAACCUAUCGAAAGAUAGGCUAAUACCGCAUAUGGUCUACGGAUUAAAGCCUUCGGGCGCUUUGGGAGAGGCCUGCGCAAGAUUAGUUAGUUGGUAGGGUAAUGGCCUACCAAGACGAUAAUCUUUAGCUGGUUUGAGAGGAUGAUCAGCCACACUGGAACUGAGAUACGGUCCAGACUCCUACGGGAGGCAGCAGUAGGGAAUAUUCCACAAUGGGCGAAAGCCUGAUGGAGCAACGCCGCGUGCAGGAUGAAGGCCUUCGGGUUGUAAACUGCUUUUAUAUGUGAAGAAUAUGACGGUAACAUAUGAAUAAGCCUCGGCUAACUCCGUG
rnacentral:rRNA from 1 species